AGCUGAUGCACAUGGCGGCUUUCCUCCCAGUUCCGCCGCAGCAGCUGUUCCCCUCUGGAGGUUUUUGACCUUCACACCUUAUGGGCCGCGGUUUUCCGUCGGCCCUUUUUU
rnacentral:sRNA from 1 species